ANANNUUGAUGCUGGCUCAGAACGAACGCUGGCGGCGUGCUUAACACAUGCAAGUCGAACGAGAAAGUUUCCUUCGGGAAACGAGUAGAGUGGCGCACGGGUGAGUAACGCGUAGGUAAUCUACCCUUAUAUUUGGGAUAACAUUGGGAAACUGGUGCUAAUACCGAAUGGUCUUCAUUGCUUUGGGGUGAUGGAGUAAAGGUGGCCUCUUCAUGAAAGCUACCGUGUAGGGAUGAGCCUGCGUACCAUUAGCUAGUAGGUGGGGUAAUGGCCCACCUAGGCGACGAUGGAUAGCUGGUUUGAGAGAGCGAUCAGCCACACUGGGACUGAGAUACGGCCCAGACUCCUACGGGAGGCAGCAGUGAGGAAUAUUGCGCAAUGGGCGAAAGCCUGACGCAGCAACGCCGCGUGGGGGAUGAAGCUUUAUGGAGUGUAAACCCCUGUAAGUAGGGACGAAAGUUACCUAUUCGAAUAGGAUGGGUAUUUGACGGUACCUGCAGAGUAAGCUCCGGCUAACUCCGUGCCAGCAGCCGCGGUAAUACGGGGGGAGCAAGCGUUGUCCGGAAUUACUGGGCGUAAAGGGCGUGUAGGCGGUAUUGUAAGUCAGAUGUAAAAGGCUACGGCUUAACCGUAGAUUGUCAUUUGAAACUGCAGUACUUGAGUGCGAGAGAGGGUAGUGGAAUUCCCAGUGUAGCGGUGAAAUGCGUAGAUAUUGGGAAGAACACCAGUAGCGAAGGCGGCUACCUGGCUCGUAACUGACG
rnacentral:rRNA from 1 species